UACGAAGGGUGCAAGCGUUACUCGGAAUUACUGGGCGUAAAGCGUGCGUAGGUGGUUUGUUAAGUCUGAUGUGAAAGCCCUGGGCUCAACCUGGGAACUGCAUUGGAUACUGGCUUACUAGAGUGCGGUAGAGGGUAGCGGAAUUCCCGGUGUAGCAGUGAAAUGCGUAGAUAUCGGGAGGAACAUCUGUGGCGAAGGCGGCUACCUGGACCAGCACUGACACUGAGGCACGAAAGCGUGGGGAGCAAACAGG
rnacentral:rRNA from 1 species